AUUGAACGCUGGCGGCAGGCCUAACACAUGCAAGUCGAACGAGUGGCGGACGGGUGAGUAAUGUCUGGGAAACUGCCUGAUGGAGGGGGAUAACUACUGGAAACGGUAGCUAAUACCGCAUACCAUCGGAUGUGCCCAGAUGGGAUUAGCUAGUGGGUGGGGUAAAGGCUCACCUAGGCGACGGUCCCUAGCUGGUCUGAGAGGAUGACCAGCAAAAAUGGAACUGAGACACGGUCCAGACUCCGACGGAGGGCAGCAUUGGGGAAUAUUGCACAAUGGGCGCAAGCCUGAUGCAGCCAUGCCGCGUGGAGGAAGAAGGCCUUCGGGUUGUAAAGUACUUUCAGCGGGAAGGCGUUACCCGCAGAAGAAGCACCGGCUAACUCCGUGCCAGCAGCCGCGGUAAUAC
rnacentral:rRNA from 1 species